GCUCCAGUGGCGCAUUCGGUCAGCGCGUGGUACUUAUAAUGCCGAGGUUGUGAGUUCGAGCCUCACCUGGAGCA